AAAAUUGAACUGGGCUCGAUUGACGCUGGCGGCAGGCCUAACACAUGCAAGUCGAACGGUAACAGGAAGCAGCUUGCUGCUUUGCUGACGAGUGGCGGACGGGUGAGUAAUGUCUGGGAAACUGCCUGAUGGAGGGGGAUAACUACUGGAAACGGUGGCUAAUACCGCAUAACGUCGCAAGACCAAAGAGGGGGACCUUCGGGCCUCUUGCCAUCAGAUGUGCCCAGAUGGGAUUAGCUUGUUGGUGAGGUAACGGCUCACCAAGGCGACGAUCCCUAGCUGGUCUGAGAGGAUGACCAGCCACACUGGAACUGAGACACGGUCCAGACUCCUACGGGAGGCAGCAGUGGGGAAUAUUGCACAAUGGGCGCAAGCCUGAUGCAGCCAUGCCGCGUGUAUGAAGAAGGCCUUCGGGUUGUAAAGUACUUUCAGCGGGGAGGAAGGUGUUGUGGUUAAUAACCGCAGCAAUUGACGUUACCCGCAGAAGAAGCACCGGCUAACUCCGUGCCAGCCGCCGCGGUAAUUA
rnacentral:rRNA from 1 species